UUUUGGGGCGGUGUUUACGGACUCUUCUUCUCUUCCUCCGCCCUGCUCUUGGCUGGGUUUCGUAGUCUAUUCUGUUUUCCAGCCAGACCCAGAAAAACGAAAACACAGCUUGGGAAGCCCCCCUCAGCCGGCGCCUGUGCCAGCUCACCUCUGGCCGUGGCGCGGUUGCUGGUGCACGCGUCGGCCAAGGCCAGCUCUACAUUCUUCCCUCCCCCGCCCACUUCACAGGAGCCGGGAGACCAGCGAACAGAGGAAGGGCCUCAGCUCCAGACUGCCAAAGUCGACUGGGUCCCUCGACACCAAAAAUGGUGAGACAAGAUUUCAUCUUGUCCUCUGAGGAGCCACAAGCAG
rnacentral:lncRNA from 1 species